UAAAAUGAAGCUCGUAGGUUGGAGCAUUUAGCUGUUAACUAAAGUUUUGUGGGAUCGAGGCCCACCAUUUUAG
rnacentral:tRNA from 1 species